UCAUGCCUCAACCUAGAAUAAGUAAUAGUAAACCAGAAGAAAUAAUUACGUUCCUUUGCUUUCCCUCUAUAUAAAGAAAGUUGAUAUUGUUCCUGUGAGGCAUGUUGCCAUCAAGUUUCGUGUUGUACUGCCUAAUUUUGAUAACUAAGAGUGAUGAAUAUCAUUCUAGAAGACGCCUGUUCGGAGUCCCCCCACUCCAUGACUCCGCUCCCGGAGUAGGCGGAGCUGCAGUUGAAAAUCACAGAACGGAGAAACAGAUGCUCCAUAAAUCCUCGGAUUUCUCGGAGCUGGUGGAUUGCUGAACAGGCAAUAACUAUCUUACCUUGGGUCCGUAAAUGGCAGUUGGUGCUAUUAGCGCCCCUGCGAUUACUUCCAACCCCUCUUCAUAAUCUUUCCCCAUUGAGUGCCGCUGAGAACAAUUCCCUGAACCUGCAAUUGGACGUCAUAUUUUAAACUAAAUUAGUUUCUAAUUAAUAACCAGUAGUAAAGCUAGCAAGCACAAUUAGUUCAUGACGUAAUGUAGUAUCUACCCCAAGACCAUGGCAAAAUAUCCUACUACCUUUUGCACAGAAGUUCACCUGGGACCUUUGAUUUGGCGGUUAAACCCCAUGAACCACAUCCUUCUGCACCAGAAACAUAUCUUUCCCUGAGAGAUACCAAAUGCUGGACCAUAGAAUCAGAUAGGCAACACGUACCUACACACAAUCAACUGUCAAUGCAAGCGAC
rnacentral:lncRNA from 1 species